UACGUAGGGUCCAAGCGUUGUCCGGAUUUAUUGGGCGUAAAGAGCGUGUAGGCGGCUCGAUAAGUCUGCUGUGAAAGUCCAGGGCUCAACCCUGGAAGGCCGGUGGAAACUGUCGGGCUAGAGUCCGGAAGAGGCGAGUGGAAUUCCCGGUGUAGCGGUGAAAUGCGCAGAUAUCGGGAGGAACACCAAUGGCGAAGGCAGCUCGCUGGGACGGUACUGACGCUGAGACGCGAAAGCGUGGGGAGCAAACAGG
rnacentral:rRNA from 1 species